rnacentral:tRNA from 1 species
UUAAUUGAAACCAAAAAGAGGUAUAUCACUGUUAAUGAUAUCAAUGAAUUUUAUAAUUCCAAUUAAG